rnacentral:tRNA from 1 species
GCGGGUGUGGUGAAACUGGCAGACACGCCAGAUUUAGGUUCUGGUGCCGUGAGGUGUGCAGGUUCAAGUCCUGUCACCCGCA